GUGGGGAAUCUUCCGCAAUGGACGAAAGUCUGACGGAGCGACGCCGCGUGAGUGAAGAAGGCCUUCGGGUCGUAAAGCUCUGUCAUCAGGGACGAACGGCCGGUGGAGUGGAAAGCCACCGGAUUGACGGUACCUGAGAAGGAAGCCACGGCUAACUACGUGCCAGCAGCCGCGGUAAUACGUAGGUGGCAAGUGUUGUCCGGAAUUAUUGGGCGUAAAGCGCGCGCAGGUGGGAUCUUAAGUCCAUUUUUAAAGUUCGGAGCUCAACUCCGUGAUGGGAUGGAAACUGGGAUUCUUGAGUACCGGAGAGGAAAGCGGAAUUCCCCGUGUAGCGGUGAAAUGCGUAGAUAUGGGGAGGAACACCAGUGGCGAAGGCGGCUUUCUGGACGGUGUCUGACACUGAGGCGCGAAAGCCAGGGGAGCGAACGGGAUUAGAUACCCUAGUAGUCC
rnacentral:rRNA from 1 species